CAGUCGCCGCGGUAAUACGUAGGUGGCAAGCGUUGUCCGGAAUUAUUGGGCGUAAAGCGAGCGCAGGCGGUCAAUUAAGUCUGAUGUGAAAGCCCCCGGCUCAACCGGGGAGGGUCAUUGGAAACUGGUUGACUUGAGUGCAGAAGAGGAGAGUGGAAUUCCAUGUGUAGCGGUGAAAUGCGUAGAUAUAUGGAGGAACACCAGAGGCGAAGGCGGCCUUCUGGACUGUCACUGACGCUGAGGAACGAAAGCGUGGGGAGCAAACAGGAUUAGAUACCCCUGUAGUCCCUGUCUCUUAUAC
rnacentral:rRNA from 1 species